rnacentral:rRNA from 1 species
AUUGAACGCUGGCGGCAUGCCUUACACAUGCAAGUCGAACGGCAGCGGACCUUCGGGUGCCGGCGAGUGGCGAACGGGUGAGUAAUAUAUCGGAACGUACCUUUCAGUGGGGGAUAACGUAGCGAAAGUUACGCUAAUACCGCAUAUUCUGUGAGCAGGAAAGCAGGGGAUCGCAAGACCUUGCGCUGAUUGAGCGGCCGAUAUCAGAUUAGCUAGUUGGUGAGGUAAAGGCUCACCAAGGCGACGAUCUGUAGCGGGUCUGAGAGGAUGAUCCGCCACACUGGAACUGAGACACGGUCCAGACUCCUACGGGAGGCAGCAGUGGGGAAUUUUGGACAAUGGGGGCAACCCUGAUCCAGCCAUGCCGCGUGUGUGAAGAAGGCCUCGGUUGUAAG